rnacentral:rRNA from 1 species
AUACGGAGGGGGUUAGCGUUGUUCGGAAUUACUGGGCGUAAAGCGUACGUAGGCGGAUCGGAAAGUAAGGGGUGAAAUCCCAGGGCUCAACCCUGGAACUGCCUCUUAAACUCCCGGUCUUGAGUUCGAGAGAGGUGAGUGGAAUUCCUAGUGUAGAGGUGAAAUUCGUAGAUAUUAGGAGGAACACCAGUGGCGAAGGCGGCUCACUGGCUCGAUACUGACGCUGAGGUACGAAAGCGUGGGGAGCAAACAGGAUUAGAUACCCUAGUAGUCC